AAGUCGAUAAGAGAAUGGAGCGGCCGUAAUAUUUAGUUUCUCUGAUUGAUGGGAAACAGAGGAAGAAUAGCAAUUAGUGGACGAGAUAUCGUUUCAGUCGCCAUUUUCUUGAUUGGCGAUUCGAUUGUUGCUCGUUCUUCU